CGUACCCAUCCCGAACACGACCGUUAAGCCCUCCAGCGCCGAUGGUACUUGGACCGAAGGGUCCUGGGAGAGUAGGACGUUGCCAAGC
rnacentral:rRNA from 1 species